rnacentral:rRNA from 1 species
CCUACGGGAGGCAGCAGUGGGGAAUCUUCCGCAAUGGACGAAAGUCUGACGGAGCAACGCCGCGUGUACGACGAAGGCCUUCGGGUUGUAAAGUACUGUCUUCAGGGACGAACGGUAGUGGUGUAAAUAAUGCCUUUACAUGACGGUACCUGAGGAGGAAGCCCCGGCUAACUACGUGCCAACAGCCGCGGUAAUACGUAGGGGGCAAGCGUCGUCCGGAAUCAUUGGGCGUAAAGGGCGCGUAGGCGGAUAUUUAAGUCUGGUGUGAAAACCUAGGGCUCAACCCUGGGAGUGCAUCGGAAACUGGGUAUCUUGAGGACAGGAGAGGAGAGUGGAAUUCCACGUGUAGCGGUGAAAUGCGUAGAUAUGUGGAGGAACACCAGUGGCGAAGGCGACUUUCUGGACUGUAACUGACGCUGAGGCGCGAAAGCGUGGGGAGCACACAGGAUUAGAUACCCUGGUAGUCCACACUGUAAACGAUGAGUGCUAGGUGUAGAGGGUAUCGACCCCUUCUGUGCCGCAGUUAACACAAUAAGCACUCCGCCUGGGGAGUACGGCCGCAAGGUUGAAACUCAAAGGAAUUGACGG